AUAACUGAUGUUUGUAGUGAGUUGUUACUCUGUGUGUAAAGACUUUUGAAUUGAAAUGUGUUUUUGUAUUUCUUAAUUGUAGCAUGCAGUCCAUUCAGAAUCUUGGGUUGGCCAUCAUUUCCAUCAUUGCUGGCAUGAUAUUGGAUACUCGGGGUUAUUUGUUUCUAGAAGUUUUCUUCAUCGCCUGUGUUUCUUUGUCACUUUUGUCUGUGGUCUUGCUCUAUGUGGUGAAUCGUGCCCAAGGUGGGAACCUAAAUUAUUCUGCAAGACAAAGGGAAGAAAUAAAACUUUCCCAUACUGAAUGAGACGUUUAAAUGACCGUGUCGUGAGAAUGGGCCGCACACAUCAUUGAUUUAAAAACCUCCAUUUUAAAAUUUUAUUUAGAGUUUAGUCAUUAAGAAAAAUAAUGGUCUGGAAAGUUGUUACAUUUAUAUUUCAAAGGCGUCUAUUUCAGAGCGUAUGCCUGUGUCUUUUGCAUUGUGUAUUGCUGAAGAAUUCUACUUUGGAGGAGACUAGUCAACAGUGGAGUUGAGAAAAUUGCUCUGAAACGUGCAGGUAGACUUCAGGAAGGACAGUAAAUAAAGACAGGAGAACAUGGGAUCUUGUAUUGAGAUAGUUUUCACAAAGUGUAUCUUAGGCAGAUGGUCUUUCCUUUUUCUUAAAGCAAAAAAACAAAAACCCUUUGAGGGGAUAGAAGGGAUGUUUUUGUGCAGAAUGAACAGUGGCAUUUUAGUAGGCAUUCCCUUUUGUAGUAGGGAAUAUUUGAAAGAUAUUUUUACGAAGGCUCUUCAUUUUCACAAUUAGCAGAUGGUGUUGUGCUCCCCUUAGUUCCGAGAGGUUGCUGGGCAGGGACCCUUGUGAGCCACUUUCUCUCUCUGGUUUUGAGGACCCUAAUCACUUAGGGAUGUAAUUUUGUGGUACAAACUUUUUGUAUGGUUUUUUUCUUAUAGUCUAAUUAAUUACAAAAACUUGUCCUGUAACUUAGGAUAAUUGCAUAUCUUCAUGGAUAAAUAAAAACACUGCAAAAGGA